GCUGGGCACGAUGGUGCGAACCUGUAGUCCCAGCUACUCGGGAGGCUGAGGCUGGAGGAUCGCUUGAGCCCAGGAGUUCUGGGCUGUAGUGCGCUAUGCCGAUCGGGUGUCUGCACUAAGUUCGUCAUCAAGAUGGUGACCUCCUGGGAGCGGGGGACCACCAGGUUGCCUAAGAAGGGUAGUGGGUAGAUGGACAGGGGGCUUCUCAGAGAAGCCAGGAUCUGGUUGCAGGGCAUGUUUCUCUGGCCAGCGUAGGGGUCCCUGGUCUCCG
rnacentral:SRP_RNA from 1 species